AACAAACGCUGGCGGCGUGCCUAACACAUGCAAGUCGUACGAGAAAGUCGGCUUCGGCCGAUGAGUACAGUGGCGCACGGGUGAGUAGCGGCGUGGGUAAUCCUGCCCCCCCGGUCAGGAAUAACCCGCCGAAAGGCGGGCUAAUACCCGAUAACACUGACGCUCCGCGGAGCGUCUUUCAAAGAAGGCCUCUGUUUACAAGCUUUCGCCGGAGGAUGAGCCCGCGUACCAUUAGCUAGUUGGCAGGGUAAUGGCCUACCAAGGCUACGAUGGUUAGCUGGUCUGAGAGGAUGGCCAGCCACACUGGAACUGAGACACGGUCCAGACUCCUACGGGAGGCAGCAGUGAGGAAUCUUGCGCAAUGGGGGAAACCCUGACGCAGCAACGCCGCGUGAGUGAGGAAGGCCUUCGGGUCGUAAAGCUCUGUCAGAUGGGAAGAAAUGGAUGGGGGCUAAUAUCGCCCAUCCUUAACGGUACCAUCAGAGGAAGCACCGGCUAACUCCGUG
rnacentral:rRNA from 1 species